GAUGAACGCUAGCUACAGGCUUAACACAUGCAAGUCGAGGGGAAACGAUAGAGAAAGCUUGCUUUUUCUAGGCGUCGACCGGCGCACGGGUGAGUAACGCGUAUCCAACCUGCCCAUCACUUGGGGAUAACCUUGCGAAAGUAAGACUAAUACCCAAUGACGUCUCUAGAAGACAUCUGAAGGAGAUUAAAGAUUUAUCGGUGAUGGAUGGGGAUGCGUCUGAUUAGCUUGUUGGCGGGGUAACGGCCCACCAAGGCGACGAUCAGUAGGGGUUCUGAGAGGAAGGCCCCCCACAUUGGAACUGAGACACGGUCCAAACUCCUACGGGAGGCAGCAGUGAGGAAUAUUGGUCAAUGGGACGAGAGUCUGAACCAGCCAAGUAGCGUGAAGGAUGACUGCCCUAUGGGUUGUAAACUUCUUUUAUACGGGAAUAAAGUUAGCCACGUGUGGUUUUUUUGUAUGUACCGUAUGAAUAAGGAUCGGCUAACUCCGUG
rnacentral:rRNA from 1 species